CAAAAUCAGGAAUCCAGUGACGGAACACAAGUGCCAGAUGGAGAUGGUCUCAGCGAUACACACAUCCACAAAGAUGGCAACGACGAGGAGAGGGACCAUGCUGAGAAAAGAGAUGACACUGAAGAGGAGGCACUCCAGAACAAGGGUGCAGACUCAAGUGCCCCCCCAGCAUGCACCCAACCCCCAGAGUUCUGUACUUGGGGCCACAUCUGA